UCCCUGGUGUCUCAGACGGUAAAGAAUCUGCCUGCAAUGCAGGAGACCUGGGUUCGAUCCCUGGGUUGGGAC
rfam:Ovis aries breed Texel chromosome 1, whole genome shotgun sequence.